UGUGGACAGAGUUGGCAACGGGCUUUGUUGCAAAGAUAGGUUCCUGGGUUAGUGGUUUUGUGUAGUUGCUGGUGAGUAUUUGUUUCAGCUUAGGGGACUGCCUGUAAGUGAGGAUUGGCCUCUCUCCCAAGAUUUGUGAGCGUGAGGGAUCAUCCUUCAGGAUAGGUUGUAAAUCCUUGAUGAUGUGCUGGAGAGGUUUAAGUUGGGGGCUGAAGGUGACUGCUAGUGGCAUUCUGUUACUUUCUUUGUUGGGCCUGUCCUGGAGUAGGUGAUUUCUGGGUAGUCUUCUGCCUCUGUCAAUCUGUUUCUUCACUUCCGCAGGUGGGUAUUGUA